UACGUAGGGACCAAGCGUUGUUCGGAUUUACUGGGCGUAAAGGGCGCGUAGGCGGCAAUUCAAGUCAUCUGUGAAAUCUCCGGGCUUAACCCGGAACGGUCAGAUGAUACUGCUUUGCUAGAGUGCGGAAGGGGCAAUCGGAAUUCUUGGUGUAGCGGUGAAAUGCGUAGAUACUGGGAGGAACACCAGUGGCGAAGGCGGCUACCUGGACCGGUUCUGACGCUGAGGCGCGAAAGCGUGGGUAGCAAACAGG
rnacentral:rRNA from 1 species